rnacentral:ncRNA from 1 species
GACAAAGAUAAAAACGCAACGCGCCUCUUUUCAAAAGCGCCAGAGCCGGUAGGUAGCCCGGCCGUCCUGUAAAACAGGGUAAGUAACCUGCCCCUCCCGGGUUGUCCGUUCUUUGUCCAUA